UGAAUACGAGACGCUAAGGCGUCGAAGUAGUGUAUGUCAUACUUCCAAGAAAAGCUUGCACUGUCAUAGAUAAAAAACGCCUGUACCAUAACCGACACAGGUGGGUAGGUAGAGUAUACUAAGGGGCGCGAGAUAACUCUCUCUAAGGAACUCGGCAAAAUAACUCCGUAACUUCGGGAGAAGGAGUGCCUUAUUCUUAAGGUUGCAAUAACAAGAUCCAAGCAACUGUUUAUCAAAAACACAGGUCUCCGCUAAGUCGUAAGGCGAUGUAUGGGGGCUGACGCCUGCCCAGUGCCAGAAGGUUAAAGAAGCUGGUUAGCAUUUGCGAAGCUAGUAACUGAAGCCCUGGUGAACGGCGGCCGUAACUAUAACGGUCCUAAGGUAGCGAAAUUCCUUGUCGGGUAAGUUCCGACCCCCACGAAAGGCGUAAUGAUUUGGAUACUGUCUCGGAGAGGGGCUCGGUGAAAUAGACUUGUCUGUGAAGAUGCGGACUACCUGCACCAGGACAGAAAGACCCUAUGAAGCUUUACUGUAACUUGAAAUUGAAAUUGGACUUUAUUCGCGCAGUAUAGGUGGGAGGCGUUGAUUAUAAUCUUGCGGGAUUAUUGGAGCCAUUAGUGAGAUACCACUCUUGUAAUGUUAGAUUUCUAACUUCGAAUCAUUAUCUGGUCAAAGAACAGUUUCAGGCGGGCAGUUUGACUGGGGCGGUCGCCUCCUAAACGGUAACGGAGGCGUACAAAGGUUUCCUCUGAACGGUUAGAAAUCGUAUCUAGAGUGUAAAGGCAUAAGGAAGCUUGACUGUGAGACCUACAAGUCGAGCAGGGACGAAAGUCGGUCUUAGUGAUCUGACGGUACUGAGUGGAAAGGCCGUCACUCAACGGAUAAAAGUUACUCUAGGAUAACAGGCUGAUCUCCCCCAAGAGUUCACAUCGACGGGGAGGUUUGGCACCUCGAUGUCGGCUCAUCGCAUCCUGGGGCGGUAGUACGUCCCAAGGGUUGGGCUGUUCGCCCAUGAAAGCGGUACGCGAGCUGGGUUCAGAACGUCGUGAGACAGUUCGGUCCAUAUCCGGUGUAGGCGUUAGAAUAUUGAGAGGAGCCUUCUUUAGUACGAGAGGACCGAGAAGGACAUACCUCUGGUGUACCAGUUAUCGUGCCAACGGUAAACGCUGGGUAGCUAUGUAUGGAGUGGAUAACCGCUGAAAGCAUCUAAGUGGGAAGCCCACCUCAAGAUAAGUAUUCCC
rnacentral:rRNA from 1 species